UACGUAGGGUGCGAGCGUUAAUCGGAAUUACUGGGCGUAAAGCGUGCGCAGGCGGUUCGUUGUGUCGGCGGUGAAAGCCCCGGGCUUAACCUGGGAAUGGCCGUUGAAACUGGCGAACUGGAGUGUGGCAGAGGGGGGUGGAAUUCCGCGUGUAGCGGUGAAAUGCGUAGAGAUGCGGAGGAACACCGAUGGCGAAGGCAGCCCCCUGGGCUAACACUGACGCUCAUGCACGAAAGCGUGGGGAGCAAACAGG
rnacentral:rRNA from 1 species